rnacentral:rRNA from 1 species
UACGAAGGGGGCUAGCGUUGUUCGGAAUUACUGGGCGUAAAGCGCGCGUAGGCGGAUUGUUAAGUUAGGGGUGAAAUCCCAAGGCUCAACCUUGGAACUGCCUUUAAUACUGGCAAUCUUGAGUUCGGAAGAGGUUGGUGGAAUAGCUAGUGUAGAGGUGAAAUUCGUAGAUAUUAGCUGGAACACCGGUGGCGAAGGCGGCCAACUGGUCCGAUACUGACGCUGAGACGCGAAAGCGUGGGGAGCGAACAGG